UCAGGCCUGGCGUCCAGAACUUAAGAGUUGGCUCCGGGCGGCAACGGGGAUGCAGAAGCGAGCGAGCCUGCGAGAGCACCGAGGCUAGCCUCCGAGGCGAACCCCAGAAACGCCAGGACGGGUAACUUGCCCCUUUGCGCUUCCCCGCUCAGCGCACUCAGUUUGCGGCUGGGAAUGACCCUCGCCGCCCGCCGUUCUUCUUCCGGAAGUCGUUGGCCGUUACCAUAGUGACUGCAGGCGUCCGGAGCGCUGAGCAGAGGUGCAGUGGCUCAUGCCUGCAAUCCCAGCACUUUGGGAGGCCGAGGCAGGAGGAUCACAAGGUCAGGAGUUCCAUACAAGACUAGCCUGCCCAACAUGGUGAAACCCCGUCUCUACUGAAAAUACAAAAACAGCCUGGCGUGGUUGUGUGCACCUGUAAUCCCAGCUACUCAGGAGGCUGAGGCAGGAGAACUGCUUGAACCCGGGAGGCAAAGGUUGCAGUGAACAGAGAUCGGGCCACUGUUAUCCAGCCUGGGUGACAGAGUGAGACUCCAUCUCAAAAAAUAAAUAAAUAAAAUAAGUAUUUCCUUUUAAUGCUAA
rnacentral:lncRNA from 1 species